CCUACGGGGGGCUGCAGUGGGGAAUAUUGGACAAUGGGGGCAACCCUGAUCCAGCCAUGCCGCGUGUGUGAAGAAGGCCCUCGGGUUGUAAAGCACUUUCAGUGAGGAAGAACGCCUGGUGGUUAAUACCCAUCAGGAAAGACAUCACUCACAGAAGAAGCACCGGCUAACUCCGUGCCAGCAGCCGCGGUAAUACGGAGGGUGCGAGCGUUAAUCGGAAUUACUGGGCGUAAAGCGCGCGUAGGUGGCUUGAUAAGCCGGUUGUGAAAGCCCCGGGCUCAACCUGGGAACGGCAUCCGGAACUGUCAAGCUAGAGUGCAGGAGAGGAAGGUAGAAUUCACGGUGUAGCGGUGAAAUGCGUAGAGAUCGGGAGGAAUACCAGUGGCGAAGGCGGCCUUCUGGACUGACACUGACACUGAGGUGCGAAAGCGUGGGUAGCAAACAGGAUUAGAUACCCCAGUAGUC
rnacentral:rRNA from 1 species